rnacentral:lncRNA from 1 species
GUCUCAAAGAAUCACCACACUGACUAUUAAUUACAAAUGGGGAUGGCACCUUUACAUUGGAGAAAUCUACCUGACACCAUCUGUGCCAAAUGUUCCUUAGCAUCAUUAACAGUGAGACAGACUGGCAUCAUGGGUCUUUUGAUGUGAUGUGAUGGGAAGGGCACACGUCUCCUAUGACGUUCUUAGAAACAACAUUUAACCUGCAUCUAAUCACGAUGAAGCAGUGAAAUACAUGCAGAAUGUAGGACAUUCCAUAAAGCAAUUACCUGAGCUCUUCAAAAAUAUCAGUGCCAUGAAAGACAAACAAAAACCAAAGGACAAUAAAGGAGACUAAAGAGAUAUUUCUGUUAUGUGUAAUGAGUGAGCCUUGACUGAAUUCUGGACAGAAGAAAAUCUAUAAAGGAUAUUUUGGGAGAUAUUUGGGGAAAUUUGGAUAUGAGUUAUUUAAUAAUCAACAUUAAAUUUCCUGGGUCUAAAAAUGAUAUUGCGGUUUUGUAAAAAUGUUUUUGUUCUAGGAGAAACAUGCAAGUGGUAAACUGUCAUGCUGAAUGUAACAUGUUUCCAAAUGACUCAGCAAAAACAAAAGAGAAAGCAAAUGUGGCAAAAAUUGAACCAUUCGUGAAUCUUAGAUAAAAAGUAUACAAGCAUUUAUUAUACUUUUCUUUCAACUUGUUCUGUAGGUUUGACAUUUUUAAAAAUAAAACUUUUUGGUGUAAGAGUAACACAGACCUCUAAAUACUGACUGCUAUAUUAUUGUCAUUGGAACCAAGAUUUUCAGCAUGAAUGAAAAGAGAUGGAAAUAUAAAAUCAAACCAGCCAAGUGAGACUUCGUAAUCUUAAAAUUUGAACAGUCUUUUAUAUGAUCUGCAUAGCUCCUAUAGAGAGGAAAAUGAAAUCCUAGUAUCUAAUUUUCCUAUCAACAAUAUUUACAGUUAUGUCAAUGGUUGUUAAUAGUUUUUUCAAUUUUUAGAAGCACCCUAUGAACUAGACAGGAAAAAACUUAAUUAUGGUUACUAGAGAAAAUAUAAAUGCCAACCUUUUAAUUUGAAAGUAAAGGUAUAAGUACAGAAAUCAGGAGGAAGACUGAGGAGAAGAGCUGGAAGAAGAGGGGAACUAAUUUUCUCACCUAAUACAGUCAUUUACCAGUAAAUCAAGAAAUAGCAGCAAAGGCUCAUUGUUUAGAAUUAGGAGAAUAACCAUUAAAAAGCCUUGAAACAGGAACAGUUAAAAGUGAUUCCUUCUGGGAGAUUGAAUUGGGGCUGGGAAGGGGUGGGGUAGUAGACUAUGGUUUCAUUACAAGCCCUAUUACAUUAUUAUUUUUUUUCUGUGUGAUUAUUGCAAUAACGUGUUUUAAAAUAACACUUUAAUAAAGCGAGGAGAAUGGCUUACAAUUCACAAUACCUAUAGAAGCACAAUAAAAAUCUUGUGUUGAAAUUAUCAAUUUCCCAGAGAUUCCAGGGUGGGACUGGUUAUUAGAAGAUCUACCAGCAUAAACAGCAGAGGAGCCUUGGGUAGAGGGGAAGGGGAGAGGGGGUGCCAAAGAUAGGGAGGAUAGAGAAGGGGAAGGAAGAAGGAGGGGGGAGGGAGAGAAAAACAAAUUUACUGAAAUAUAAGGUUUGGCUGUCAGAAUAAUUUUGAGUAUGGCACAGUGUAUUAAUUAUAUUAUUCACUAGCUAAUUGUGUCUCAGCAACUAGGAACUUCAGCCAAAGCUGUUAAUUUAGAAAAGAGUGAAAUCCCUUGAGAUUAUGAAGGUGUAAAAUGUGCAAUGCAGCAAUGCUCCAUAGAUGUCUGGAGGUAGCAGGAAGCAUUGUUCAUCUCUCUAGGGACCUAGGCUGGAGAAGUACCAAGAAGGAUCCUCUUGGGAACCAUAAGACUCCUUUGCUAAAGCACAUGCGAUACCUCUAGAAUUUUGAGAGAUGAGAUCUUGCAUUGCAGUGGGUGGAGGCUAAGCUAGAAAAAUACUGUUCUCUUAAUAUUAUUAUAAUUUAUAGUAGGCACAGCUUGGCGUGGCCUGUAAAAACAUGAUUGGUAUAGCUGAUUUUAUAGCAAAAAGCAUUACGGGAGACAAACAGUAUUUCAGCAUGAUUAAAGAUACAUUUAGAAAUGGAAACAUAAAUGCUAAAAUAGUAAGUCUCAGAUCUAAUCCAAUAAUAAAAUAGAGUUUUGAAUUGAGAGAUGCAAGGAUAAGCCUUUCUGGUUGCAGCAUUACGGGGGGAUAACAUGGGGUUAGAUUCUACCAUUGUCUUCUAUUAUUUACUGUCCUGGCUAGGCUGGACCUUCAGUCUACAUCCUGGAAUAAAGAUUCUGAACAGAGCUGAAGCCAGCAGGUGCAGUGAAGGUGUACUAAACCAUGGAUGUUGUAAGCCACUAGGAUUUGUGGGAUGGUUUAUUCCACAACAUAACCUAGUGGAAAGCUAACUAAUACGCUAACUAAUACGUAUCAUAAUCAUCAAGUACUUUUGCUGCCAACACCUAGAAGAGCUAACUUAGUUAUAAUAAAUGUAAUUUUAUUUUAUUAAAAAAUUUUAUUAUAGUUGAUUUACAAUGUUCUGUCAAUAUUAACUAUAAACAGUAAUAAGAAAAAAAGAGAAAUGCAAUAAAUUAACAUAAAAAUCUAGAAAAGGAAAUGUGUACUAUCUUAAAGGCAGGAACAAAAAAAGGGAAAUAUUAAAAAUAAAAGCAGAAAGGAACAAAUUGAGCAACAGAAAAGCAGAACACUAAAUACAUGUACCUAAUGACUGUAUCCAUUCAUUUUAAAACUGUUUCUAAAAUGUACCCCCUUCUUGUUGUGGUCCCUCUCUUUACUGUGAGGCUUAAUUUACAAACUGUCAUGGGUUUGAUGUUCACCUUGAGAAAACAAACACAUUUUUAGUACAUCAAUAAAUAAGGAGUUCCCAUCACAGCACAGUGGUUAACGAAUCUGACUAGGAACCAUGAGGUUGCCGGUUCGAUCCCUGGCCUUGCUCUGUGGGUUAAAGAUCCGGUGCUGCCGUGAGCUGUGGUGUAGGUCGCAGACGUGGCUCGGAUACCAAAUUGCUAUGGCUCUGGUGUAGGCGGGUGGCUACAGCUCCGAUUAGACCCCUAGCCUGGGAAUCUCCAUAUGCUGCGGGAGCGUCCCUAGAAACGGCAAAAAACAAAACCAAAAACAAAUAGAAUAUAUUCUCCAUCAGAAACUACAUCCUGACCAUAGAGUUGCCAUGUUUUUAGGUGUUUUUCAGUUGAAGGUUGCAACCUGCUAGGGAAUCAUGAAAUCAGUUUAGUGUGUUGAAAUUUAUACUAACAAAAUACAAGAGAAUAGAACUGAAAAUAUCAGAGUGCAACAUGUUGUAAAGCUAAAUAAUAUUUCAUAAAACAUUAGUUUCAGUAACAUAAUUUGUGUGCUGGGGAAUGUGUGUGUGUUCUAUAUUGAAAUUAAAAUGUAUAUCUUACUGUAGGUGGCUUGGAGUCAAAAAUGUUUGAAAGUCACUGACUUAGGUCCCUGAAGUUGAAAGUAAUGUUCAAAAUAUUUCACAACUGGUUAAGUUGGGUGUAGCCUAGUCAGAAUUAAAGUUGGCUGCUGUGCUGGACCAUUG